ACGGCCGAAACCUCAAAGCCCUAACAUAUUGGGGAUUCUAAAAUUGGCUCCAUCUUUUACCAAACUUAGUCUAAUUUUAGUCAAAUUUGAUUUCCAUCACCGCAAUAUAUUCCCUCUCUGCAAAUUGUGGUUCCGAAAAAAGCUAUGUAUGGAGAGUAUGAGAGAUUUAGAAGGAAAAGAUUUUGGCGGUAAGAAUUUUCGGAUUCCCUCUUCCUAAUUCUAAAAUUAAGUUUCCUUUAUUAGUUAGAACCCAACAACCUAAUUUUGCAUUACGCUUUGGCAAUUUUAUUGGAAAUUUAAGAAAACAAGGAAAGGGAGGCAAGCUAUUGGAAGAACAUUGAUGUAGGGUUCAGACUCUUGGUGAGGCUUUUGCAGGUUUUCGAUGACUCACAUGAAGAUCACCAACAAUCAUUAUCACCGAUUUCAGUUGUUCACAAAAAUAAGAACUUCUGAAGGAUGUAAGAUCAAUUAUUGCAAGGAAUACUUGGCUUGUGAUGGAUCCGUAAAGCCUUGCUUCAGAAUUUAUUCUAGAAUUUAAGGGAAUUCAUUCAGAUUAGAAGUGAAUUUGACAUAGUUCCAUGUUAAAAUUACUUUAUCUUUUAUGAUUUAAUUUGAAUUACUUUUUAUUUGAGAUUCAGGUCAUUUGAUUUGAACUCUUAACUUGUAAGGAGAACCCUUAUUAUGUCAGUUACCAUGUUCUUCAA